UACAGAGGGUGCGAGCGUUAAUCGGAAUUACUGGGCGUAAAGCGCACGUAGGCGGCUUGGUAUGUCGGGUGUGAAAUCCCCAGGCUUAACUUGGGAACUGCAUCCGAUACUGGAUGGCUUGAAUCCGGGAGAGGGAUGCGGAAUUCCAGGUGUAGCGGUGAAAUGCGUAGAUAUCUGGAGGAACACCGGUGGCGAAGGCGGCAUCCUGGACCGGUAUUGACGCUGAGGCGCGAAAGCCAGGGGAGCAAACGGG
rnacentral:rRNA from 1 species